CUUCUAAGACAUCUGUUGGUUUGCCUGGCGAUGGGUCUGAAUGGAGCACAGCACCCAGAAUGCCUCAGCCCCUUAGUGACCGGGUAGGCAUUUGAUUACUCGGGAUGCCAUAUGUUGUAUCGGGAGUGAGCAAAUUGUGCUUUCUAAAAAGCCCAAGUAUGCAUAUCAAAACCAAGGGGGGGCGGGGUGAACCAAAGUACCUGUGUGCCCCCCGCAGGCCAACCUAGUAGGAAGCCCUGGGGUUGGGCAAAGACACAAAUGUUGGAGUCAUCCCCGGCUGGGUUUGAUGCGGGCUUCUUUCUCCAACUAUCUGACGGGAAGCAAAUCGCAGAUUUCCCUGACAUUCUUCUCCGGAGUAUCGCGGACAGUCUCUCACAGGACGUGGUGAGGAUCAAAGGAGGAAACAGACCCCAGCACCCGGCCCAGCGGCUUUCGGAAUAUUAGUGACCAUUAUCAGGUACUGGGGGUAGGUUAGCUCAUUGCACCUCCAGUAAUCACGUGGGGUAGGGCCGUGGGCCUCAUUUGCCAAAGUAAGGAGUUUCAGCAUCGAAAUGUUAACUCUUGACGCUUGGCUCAAACCCCGGAUCCCUGAUCGAGCCUUCCCUAAACCCCCCGAGGGCACUUGAAGACUCAAUUGGCUACACAGGGUGGUGGCCACGAGGCAGCUACUCUUGCUGACCCUGUGGAUGGAGAACAACCACCUCUCAAGGGAAAUCAGCUGCAAGAUAGCCACCCACGCAAGUUAGUGGUUAUAAGCCGCCCUUUGGAGACAGCCUCCUGCAUCAGAGAGAAGCAAGCAAGGCAGCGCUUCCCUGCGCCCUGCGGCCACGGCGCUGCCUUUUUCCGGCUGCUGGGGCGAGAGUUUGUCAGAAGUAGGUGAACCGCGGGGAGCCGGGGCCCACAAAGCGGCCUCUUCCCGGCAGAGUUUCACCCCGUCAGGUUCUGGACCUGGGGUUCUUGGCUCUGUGACGGGGCUGGCACCACGCAAGCCCUGACUACCUGUGUCUUCAGCAUGGAUCUCUGAGCGCCAACCACCCUGUUGAGAGCCUUGGUCUGCGGUGAAAUGGCAGCCUCUACAUCCCUCUACCGUAUAGACCCGAGAACUUGCCUUCUCCGCCUCGUCCUACAGAGACGGAGACCUCCUGCAGAGAACAGAGGAGGACCUUGCGAAAACCCUUCGAGUUCCUCCAGCGACAGACAGCUCUGGGAAGUCUAUAGGAGCCUCGAGAACAAUUCGGUUCCUCUGGGAGAAGAGCCAGAUUGGCUGCAAGAUCUUACUGGCCGGGGAGAGACGUUUUAAAAAGCCAGUGAAAGAAAAUCCCUUCCCUUUCUGGAGAACCGGAAGAAAAGAACGUUGCAUCCGACGGAUCCUUUUGUGGGAGGACCACCAAAACACUUAUCAAAGCUUAGAAAAAAAGAGCCGUCCAGCUUUUCUAAUAAAGGACAUUCCUUCUGAGGUUGGCAUUUAUUCAGCAUGAGACACAGGCUUCCCUGUGUGAGGAAGAAAUGAGCUUAAGUGGGUCGUGCAACAGAGAGCAGGCAUUGAGCAUCCUGAAGCUUUCUGCAGCUUUCAGCAUACAGCGGUGGCUUGGCUGACCAGCCGGGGCUGUGAUCGCCUGGGUUCUUCCUGUGAUAAAGCGGCCAGCUCAGGACUCUGCUGUCCCGCGUGCUUUUCCGGCACCCGUGGCUCCUGAGCACUUGAUAUGUGGCCAGUGUGGCCAACGACUGGGAUUCUAAGCGUUACGUGGUUUUAAUUAAUUUAAUUUCAGUCGUGAUUAAUUUCAGUCUACAUUUUACACGCUGGCACUUGGUUCAGCUAUCGGCAAAAUUCUAAGUUUGGAACGACGUGGCUCUAGAAAAUCUACUUCGACUAAAUUCUGUCAAAUCUAAACGCAGAUCACAUACUGCUCAUAUAUAAAAAAAAAAAAUUACUGUCCAUGUUGAGACGUGGGACCUGCUUUAGGGGUAAAAUGCCCACCAGAACCUAUCGCUAUCUGGCUUUGGCAAUGAGCGAAGUCAUCCAGUCAAGAAAAACCUCUCCAGGUGUUAAAUCAAUGUGCAUACCAGAGCAUAAUGGAACCAAGCCUGAGGGUUUCCUGACUUCGGGCAAUGAAGAUCAUACUGACAAAGACAUUGGGCAACACCGGUAUAGAAGGGUGGAGAAGCAGUGUUUGUGGCCGUGGAAUGGAAAGGUUGUGCGGAAACAGAAAAUGCCAGUGUCGUCAUGUAUCCUGGUGUGACACAAUUGUUAGGACAAAUUACUAAGAACUCCGGGCCAUACCAGAACGUUAAAAGGACAUUUGGUCCCCUAAUCUUCAAGCUCUUUCCUGCUGAAAAGUCACAUGAUUCUAACUAGCAACAAACAUACUGCGUGCAAUGUACAAAGAGAGUUCAGAAACUUGAAGUUCAAAAAGGAACGCAUUCUGUGCCACAUUCAUUGCUUUCUGACAACUACACUGGGCCAGCAUGUUGAUUUCUUUGUGGCUUGCCCUCUGCCAGCUUUUCUUUGGACUCACUUGUUAAUGAGUAUGCUUUUCAUAAUUAGGGUGCUGUUCGGUCUCAGAAUUCCAAAUAGUACACGUGAAGUGGUGGCAAGAAAUGAAUGGCCGACUCCCUGAAAUCCAUGACCCGAUUGCCUUUACAUAGUGACACAAAACAGAACUCAUUUUUCUUAUGGUAUCUCUCAGGUGUACCAAUGGAGCAUAUAAUGCAAGGACACUAUAAGAAAUCCAACCCCUCCGUUACCCUAUGGCCCGGCUCAUUAACUUAAGAUCAGUUUGGAGUUAAAAUUUCUCCUUGUAAAGUACAUGGAAGAAUGCUGACUCAUAACUGAUUACUUCCAUUUGUGUCAUUUCUGAAGUAUCUCCUAAGCCCGCGGGGGACAUACUUGUUGGGCAAUUUAUCUCUUUCACUUAUUAUGUAAUCGUAUUUCCUUAGAAUCCGCCACAAGUCACAUCAAAUGCUGCCGUAUUUGGGCCAUCAUUUCUUCCUCUCCUACGACGUUUUCCAAUCGUUAAAUUAUUUAGGAGAUUUUGCAGUUGAUGGUACAACAUUCUGAUAAGAAAUAGCUGCGUAAAUGCAGAAGGAGAAAAAUCAGUUCUACACGUUGGUACACAAAUGCCAUCUGCUCAAGAAAGAAAACGCAAGAUAGGUCUAACGUGUCACAAGAUCAAAGACCACAAUCGAGAAAGCCUUCAAAAGAUCCUUACUGUGGACUUCUGGUCCACGAUGGUGACAUAGGAACAACCUGAACUCACCUCCUCCACAGCCACACCAAAUCUCCACCUGCUUACAGAGCAAUUCUUCCUGAAACAGAAUCAAGUGCUCACUGAAUAGCUGCCGCACAAGAAAAGACACACCGUAGAGAAUGACAAGAAAGACGCUUCCCAGGACACCCCUGAUGCAAGGGGCCCUGCGAUCUCCUGGCUUGUAGCCACUUCAGUUUCAUGUGUCCUAUAACAAGUGCUCCCCGCUCAGAGAGCGCCAUGGCCCCUGGCUUCCAUCUCCUUCAGUUUCAGCUGCCUUGUCAGUGCACCUUCUGUGCAGAGAGAACCAGGCUGCCCCAGCCCACACCCAUUUCAACUUGAGCUAUCCUUCCAGGGUCCCCUCUGCACAGAGAGUGCUGUGAUGCCCUGGCUUGCGCCCACGUCAGCGUCAGCUGUCAGACUGUGAUGCCCUCAGCACGGAUGGCCUCAGGACCACCCAGCACGUGCCUACUUUAGCUCAGGCCGUCUCACCAGGGUGGCCCCAGCACGGAGUGACCUGCGACCCCCAGUCAGCCCACUAAAGCGACCAGGCACAUACAGUCUACACAGGGGAGGACUAGACGCAAGAGCAUUCCUUCUAAUUUAGGAGAAGUAGCUGUUCUGCCUAAUUCACAGAAAUAGACAAAGACAAUCAAGCAAAAUGAGGAGACAGCUGGAAAGAAAGAAUAAGACAAACCUCAGAAAAAGAACUCGAUGAAAUAUAAAUAAGCAAUAUGCCUGAUGAACAGUUCCAAAUAAUGGUCAUGAACAGAUGCUCACUGGACUGGAGAGAAGAAUGGAAGAACUCAGAACUUCAAAAAAAGAGACAGAAAAUAUAUAGAAAACCCAAUCAGGGUUGAAGAACACAUUAACUGAAAUUAAAAAUACACUAUAGGGAAUCAACAGUGGGUUAGAAGAUACAGAAGAAUGGAUCAGUGAUCUGGAAGACAGGGUAAAGCACCUGAACUGAACAGAAAAAAAAAAAAUUAGGAAUGAGGAUAGGCUAAGGACAACGUAAAGUGAACAGCCAUUGCCAUCAUUCCCAGAGGGAAAAGAGAGACAGAAAGGGACAGAAAACUCAUUGGAAGAAAUAAAAGCUAGACACUUAACUAACCUUGGGAAGGAAACAGACAUUCAGUUUCCGGCAGCAGAGAGAGUUCAAAACAAGAUGAACUCAAUGAGGUCCACACGGAGACAUAAGAAUUAACACGGUAAAGAUUAAAGAUACAUGGGGCGCCUGGGUGGCACAGUCGGUUAAGCGUCCGACUUCAGCCAGGUCACGAUCUCACAGUCCGUAAGUUCGAGCCCCGCG